AAGCGCCGAGGAGGAGGCGGCGCAGGCGCGUGCGGCGGUGCUGAAGCGGUACCCCAUGUGCGCACGCGACGUGACGGAGGCGGUGGGCAAGGACGCCGUGUUCGCGUCACUGGCUGCGCGCCACGCGGGUCUGCUGUCAGACCCUGCAGCCAACAGGGAACCGCUGGCCGACGUGGAGGAUCUCAUGCGCCAGCGCGGUGCUGAGGUGGAGAGCGGGCGCCGGCAGCGACGCCGACGCCGCCCUGCCAACCCUCCACGCCUGCUGGACAUGAACGACGUGGCGCUGGAGAGCGGCGAGCUGGGCGACUACCACAGCCGACGCCACCGCCACCGCCGCGGCCGCAUUCUGGACGCGCGGGAGGUGCCGAUGGAUAUCGCCGGCGAGGUGCGGGAGCAGGAGACGGACACGGUGCCGCUGCUGUCGGGCACGGAGGUGCGCGACCCGUACUACCAAGCGCUGGUGGCGCUGCGCGCGUCGCUGGUGAGGGAGGACGAGGCCGUCAACGCAGACAGCAUUCGGUGUGUGGAGGAGCAGAUGAAGGACCGCGUGGCGCAGCUGAACAGCGACGCGGCGCGCGCACGUGCGGCGGAGAUGCGCGCGGAGGCGGCGCUGAAGGCACGCUACCCGUUCCUCGGCCCCACCGUGGCGGGCGAGUUGCUCACGGCGGUACGCCUGGAGGACGACGCCGUGUUCGUGGGUCUGGCGGCCGAGCACGCGUCGCUCAAGGCGACGCCGACGACGCCGCGGCAGGCGCUGGCGUGUGUGGAGCAGGGGAUGCGUGCGCGCGCGAGCGAGCUGGUGGCGGAGCACGCACGCGACGAGGAGGCGCUGCGUGAGAGGCUGCCGUUUGUCGGGGCGCUGCCUGGCGGCGUGACGCUGCGCGAGCUGGACAUGGCCAAUGACCCGGACGUGAAGCCGUUGCUGGCGCAGCUGGAGGAGCUGCGGAGGACGAAGCCGAGCGCACGCGCCAUGGCCUCGUGGACGCGGAGGGGCUGCACGAGCGCUUCCCGUUCCUGCCGGAGGAGCCGGUGCCGGGUGUGUCGCUAGUGGAGGCGCGCGUGAUGGACGACCCCGAGUUCCGCACGCUGGCGAACGAACUGGUGGACCUGCGCAGGGGCGCGGAGGCCAGCCCGCAGGCGCUGCGCGCCGCGGAGGAGGCGCUGGCGGGCCACGCUGCCGAGGUGGCGGCCGCGAAGCUGCGCGCGACGGAGGAGGCGCAGGCGCACUACCCGUUCCUGUCGAAGCGCGUGGCGGGCGUGCCGCUGAGCGAGCUGCCGCUGGCGCAGGACGAGCUGUUCCAGGCGCUGGUGGCGCAGCGCGCGCCGCUGCUGGGGAGUCCGCGCACAAACGCGGCACGGCUGCACGCGGUCGAGGCACGCGCCCAUGACCGUGCGCGCGAGCUCGCGGAUGCCAAGCGCAAGCUGGACAGCCUACGCGAUGCUGCAGACGACGAGGUGCGUUCGCGCAACCCGUUCCUGCCGCACAGCGACGUGCGCGGCGUGCCGCUGCGCGAGCUGGGCCUGUCGCGGGACCCCGAGUACGCGCGGCUGAUGGAUCGCCGCCUGACGCUGAAGGAGCGGCCGGUCGAGAAUGCGGCGGAGCUGACUGCGGUAGAGGCGCGCCUGAAGAAGCGCGCUACGGAGGUGGCGGAGGCGAAGCUCGUGGCGGAGGCGGAGCUGCGAGCCAAGUACCCGACUGUGGCGACGGCGCCUGAGGCGGCGAUGCUGUCGUCGUUGGGGCUGUCGCUGGACCCGCGGCUGGCGCAGCUCGAGCAGCAGUGCGUGGCGCUUGCUGACCAGCCGAAACCAGACCGCGCGGUGCUGCGUGCCGCGGAGGAGGCGGCGGCAGUGCGCGUGCAGGAGCUGGUGGACGAAGACGCAAGCGCCGAGGAGGAGGCGGCGCAGGCGCGUGCGGCGGUGCUGAAGCGGUACCCCAUGUGCGCACGCGACGUGACGGAGGCGGUGGGCAAGGACGCCGUGUUCGCGUCACUGGCUGCGCGCCACGCGGGUCUGCUGUCAGACCCUGCAGCCAACAGGGAACCGCUGGCCGACGUGGAGGAUCUCAUGCGCCAGCGCGGUGCUGAGGUGGAGAGCGGGCGCCGGCAGCGACGCCGACGCCGCCCUGCCAACCCUCCACGCCUGCUGGACAUGAACGACGUGGCGCUGGAGAGCGGCGAGCUGGGCGACUACCACAGCCGACGCCACCGCCACCGCCGCGGCCGCAUUCUGGACGCGCGGGAGGUGCCGAUGGAUAUCGCCGGCGAGGUGCGGGAGCAGGAGACGGACACGGUGCCGCUGCUGUCGGGCACGGAGGUGCGCGACCCGUACUACCAAGCGCUGGUGGCGCUGCGCGCGUCGCUGGUGAGGGAGGACGAGGCCGUCAACGCAGACAGCAUUCGGUGUGUGGAGGAGCAGAUGAAGGACCGCGUGGCGCAGCUGAACAGCGACGCGGCGCGCGCACGUGCGGCGGAGAUGCGCGCGGAGGCGGCGCUGAAGGCACGCUACCCGUUCCUCGGCCCCACCGUGGCGGGCGAGUUGCUCACGGCGGUACGCCUGGAGGACGACGCCGUGUUCGUGGGUCUGGCGGCCGAGCACGCGUCGCUCAAGGCGACGCCGACGACGCCGCGGCAGGCGCUGGCGUGUGUGGAGCAGGGGAUGCGUGCGCGCGCGAGCGAGCUGGUGGCGGAGCACGCACGCGACGAGGAGGCGCUGCGUGAGAGGCUGCCGUUUGUCGGGGCGCUGCCUGGCGGCGUGACGCUGCGCGAGCUGGACAUGGCCAAUGACCCGGACGUGAAGCCGUUGCUGGCGCAGCUGGAGGAGCUGGCCAAGGACCCGGCGGCGGCGAAGGGGCCGGAGGCGCGGCGGCUGGAGAAGGCGAUCGGCGAGCUGGCGCGCCGUGCUGCGGAGGACGAAGCCGAGCGCACGCGCCAUGGCCUCGUGGACGCGGAGGGGCUGCACGAGCGCUUCCCGUUCCUGCCGGAGGAGCCGGUGCCGGGUGUGUCGCUAGUGGAGGCGCGCGUGAUGGACGACCCCGAGUUCCGCACGCUGGCGAACGAACUGGUGGACCUGCGCAGGGGCGCGGAGGCCAGCCCGCAGGCGCUGCGCGCCGCGGAGGAGGCGCUGGCGGGCCACGCUGCCGAGGUGGCGGCCGCGAAGCUGCGCGCGACGGAGGAGGCGCAGGCGCACUACCCGUUCCUGUCGAAGCGCGUGGCGGGCGUGCCGCUGAGCGAGCUGCCGCUGGCGCAGGACGAGCUGUUCCAGGCGCUGGUGGCGCAGCGCGCGCCGCUGCUGGGGAGUCCGCGCACAAACGCGGCACGGCUGCACGCGGUCGAGGCACGCGCCCAUGACCGUGCGCGCGAGCUCGCGGAUGCCAAGCGCAAGCUGGACAGCCUACGCGAUGCUGCAGACGACGAGGUGCGUUCGCGCAACCCGUUCCUGCCGCACAGCGACGUGCGCGGCGUGCCGCUGCGCGAGCUGGGCCUGUCGCGGGACCCCGAGUACGCGCGGCUGAUGGAUCGCCGCCUGACGCUGAAGGAGCGGCCGGUCGAGAAUGCGGCGGAGCUGACUGCGGUAGAGGCGCGCCUGAAGAAGCGCGCUACGGAGGUGGCGGAGGCGAAGCUCGUGGCGGAGGCGGAGCUGCGAGCCAAGUACCCGACUGUGGCGACGGCGCCUGAGGCGGCGAUGCUGUCGUCGUUGGGGCUGUCGCUGGACCCGCGGCUGGCGCAGCUCGAGCAGCAGUGCGUGGCGCUUGCUGACCAGCCGAAACCAGACCGCGCGGUGCUGCGUGCCGCGGAGGAGGCGGCGGCAGUGCGCGUGCAGGAGCUGGUGGACGAAGACGCAAGCGCCGAGGAGGAGGCGGCGCAGGCGCGUGCGGCGGUGCUGAAGCGGUACCCCAUGUGCGCACGCGACGUGACGGAGGCGGUGGGCAAGGACGCCGUGUUCGCGUCACUGGCUGCGCGCCACGCGGGUCUGCUGUCAGACCCUGCAGCCAACAGGGAACCGCUGGCCGACGUGGAGGAUCUCAUGCGCCAGCGCGGUGCUGAGGUGGAGAGCGGGCGCCGGCAGCGACGCCGACGCCGCCCUGCCAACCCUCCACGCCUGCUGGACAUGAACGACGUGGCGCUGGAGAGCGGCGAGCUGGGCGACUACCACAGCCGACGCCACCGCCACCGCCGCGGCCGCAUUCUGGACGCGCGGGAGGUGCCGAUGGAUAUCGCCGGCGAGGUGCGGGAGCAGGAGACGGACACGGUGCCGCUGCUGUCGGGCACGGAGGUGCGCGACCCGUACUACCAAGCGCUGGUGGCGCUGCGCGCGUCGCUGGUGAGGGAGGACGAGGCCGUCAACGCAGACAGCAUUCGGUGUGUGGAGGAGCAGAUGAAGGACCGCGUGGCGCAGCUGAACAGCGACGCGGCGCGCGCACGUGCGGCGGAGAUGCGCGCGGAGGCGGCGCUGAAGGCACGCUACCCGUUCCUCGGCCCCACCGUGGCGGGCGAGUUGCUCACGGCGGUACGCCUGGAGGACGACGCCGUGUUCGUGGGUCUGGCGGCCGAGCACGCGUCGCUCAAGGCGACGCCGACGACGCCGCGGCAGGCGCUGGCGUGUGUGGAGCAGGGGAUGCGUGCGCGCGCGAGCGAGCUGGUGGCGGAGCACGCACGCGACGAGGAGGCGCUGCGUGAGAGGCUGCCGUUUGUCGGGGCGCUGCCUGGCGGCGUGACGCUGCGCGAGCUGGACAUGGCCAAUGACCCGGACGUGAAGCCGUUGCUGGCGCAGCUGGAGGAGCUGGCCAAGGACCCGGCGGCGGCGAAGGGGCCGGAGGCGCGGCGGCUGGAGAAGGCGAUCGGCGAGCUGGCGCGCCGUGCUGCGGAGGACGAAGCCGAGCGCACGCGCCAUGGCCUCGUGGACGCGGAGGGGCUGCACGAGCGCUUCCCGUUCCUGCCGGAGGAGCCGGUGCCGGGUGUGUCGCUAGUGGAGGCGCGCGUGAUGGACGACCCCGAGUUCCGCACGCUGGCGAACGAACUGGUGGACCUGCGCAGGGGCGCGGAGGCCAGCCCGCAGGCGCUGCGCGCCGCGGAGGAGGCGCUGGCGGGCCACGCUGCCGAGGUGGCGGCCGCGAAGCUGCGCGCGACGGAGGAGGCGCAGGCGCACUACCCGUUCCUGUCGAAGCGCGUGGCGGGCGUGCCGCUGAGCGAGCUGCCGCUGGCGCAGGACGAGCUGUUCCAGGCGCUGGUGGCGCAGCGCGCGCCGCUGCUGGGGAGUCCGCGCACAAACGCGGCACGGCUGCACGCGGUCGAGGCACGCGCCCAUGACCGUGCGCGCGAGCUCGCGGAUGCCAAGCGCAAGCUGGACAGCCUACGCGAUGCUGCAGACGACGAGGUGCGUUCGCGCAACCCGUUCCUGCCGCACAGCGACGUGCGCGGCGUGCCGCUGCGCGAGCUGGGCCUGUCGCGGGACCCCGAGUACGCGCGGCUGAUGGAUCGCCGCCUGACGCUGAAGGAGCGGCCGGUCGAGAAUGCGGCGGAGCUGACUGCGGUAGAGGCGCGCCUGAAGAAGCGCGCUACGGAGGUGGCGGAGGCGAAGCUCGUGGCGGAGGCGGAGCUGCGAGCCAAGUACCCGACUGUGGCGACGGCGCCUGAGGCGGCGAUGCUGUCGUCGUUGGGGCUGUCGCUGGACCCGCGGCUGGCGCAGCUCGAGCAGCAGUGCGUGGCGCUUGCUGACCAGCCGAAACCAGACCGCGCGGUGCUGCGUGCCGCGGAGGAGGCGGCGGCAGUGCGCGUGCAGGAGCUGGUGGACGAAGACGCAAGCGCCGAGGAGGAGGCGGCGCAGGCGCGUGCGGCGGUGCUGAAGCGGUACCCCAUGUGCGCACGCGACGUGACGGAGGCGGUGGGCAAGGACGCCGUGUUCGCGUCACUGGCUGCGCGCCACGCGGGUCUGCUGUCAGACCCUGCAGCCAACAGGGAACCGCUGGCCGACGUGGAGGAUCUCAUGCGCCAGCGCGGUGCUGAGGUGGAGAGCGGGCGCCGGCAGCGACGCCGACGCCGCCCUGCCAACCCUCCACGCCUGCUGGACAUGAACGACGUGGCGCUGGAGAGCGGCGAGCUGGGCGACUACCACAGCCGACGCCACCGCCACCGCCGCGGCCGCAUUCUGGACGCGCGGGAGGUGCCGAUGGAUAUCGCCGGCGAGGUGCGGGAGCAGGAGACGGACACGGUGCCGCUGCUGUCGGGCACGGAGGUGCGCGACCCGUACUACCAAGCGCUGGUGGCGCUGCGCGCGUCGCUGGUGAGGGAGGACGAGGCCGUCAACGCAGACAGCAUUCGGUGUGUGGAGGAGCAGAUGAAGGACCGCGUGGCGCAGCUGAACAGCGACGCGGCGCGCGCACGUGCGGCGGAGAUGCGCGCGGAGGCGGCGCUGAAGGCACGCUACCCGUUCCUCGGCCCCACCGUGGCGGGCGAGUUGCUCACGGCGGUACGCCUGGAGGACGACGCCGUGUUCGUGGGUCUGGCGGCCGAGCACGCGUCGCUCAAGGCGACGCCGACGACGCCGCGGCAGGCGCUGGCGUGUGUGGAGCAGGGGAUGCGUGCGCGCGCGAGCGAGCUGGUGGCGGAGCACGCACGCGACGAGGAGGCGCUGCGUGAGAGGCUGCCGUUUGUCGGGGCGCUGCCUGGCGGCGUGACGCUGCGCGAGCUGGACAUGGCCAAUGACCCGGACGUGAAGCCGUUGCUGGCGCAGCUGGAGGAGCUGGCCAAGGACCCGGCGGCGGCGAAGGGGCCGGAGGCGCGGCGGCUGGAGAAGGCGAUCGGCGAGCUGGCGCGCCGUGCUGCGGAGGACGAAGCCGAGCGCACGCGCCAUGGCCUCGUGGACGCGGAGGGGCUGCACGAGCGCUUCCCGUUCCUGCCGGAGGAGCCGGUGCCGGGUGUGUCGCUAGUGGAGGCGCGCGUGAUGGACGACCCCGAGUUCCGCACGCUGGCGAACGAACUGGUGGACCUGCGCAGGGGCGCGGAGGCCAGCCCGCAGGCGCUGCGCGCCGCGGAGGAGGCGCUGGCGGGCCACGCUGCCGAGGUGGCGGCCGCGAAGCUGCGCGCGACGGAGGAGGCGCAGGCGCACUACCCGUUCCUGUCGAAGCGCGUGGCGGGCGUGCCGCUGAGCGAGCUGCCGCUGGCGCAGGACGAGCUGUUCCAGGCGCUGGUGGCGCAGCGCGCGCCGCUGCUGGGGAGUCCGCGCACAAACGCGGCACGGCUGCACGCGGUCGAGGCACGCGCCCAUGACCGUGCGCGCGAGCUCGCGGAUGCCAAGCGCAAGCUGGACAGCCUACGCGAUGCUGCAGACGACGAGGUGCGUUCGCGCAACCCGUUCCUGCCGCACAGCGACGUGCGCGGCGUGCCGCUGCGCGAGCUGGGCCUGUCGCGGGACCCCGAGUACGCGCGGCUGAUGGAUCGCCGCCUGACGCUGAAGGAGCGGCCGGUCGAGAAUGCGGCGGAGCUGACUGCGGUAGAGGCGCGCCUGAAGAAGCGCGCUACGGAGGUGGCGGAGGCGAAGCUCGUGGCGGAGGCGGAGCUGCGAGCCAAGUACCCGACUGUGGCGACGGCGCCUGAGGCGGCGAUGCUGUCGUCGUUGGGGCUGUCGCUGGACCCGCGGCUGGCGCAGCUCGAGCAGCAGUGCGUGGCGCUUGCUGACCAGCCGAAACCAGACCGCGCGGUGCUGCGUGCCGCGGAGGAGGCGGCGGCAGUGCGCGUGCAGGAGCUGGUGGACGAAGACGCAAGCGCCGAGGAGGAGGCGGCGCAGGCGCGUGCGGCGGUGCUGAAGCGGUACCCCAUGUGCGCACGCGACGUGACGGAGGCGGUGGGCAAGGACGCCGUGUUCGCGUCACUGGCUGCGCGCCACGCGGGUCUGCUGUCAGACCCUGCAGCCAACAGGGAACCGCUGGCCGACGUGGAGGAUCUCAUGCGCCAGCGCGGUGCUGAGGUGGAGAGCGGGCGCCGGCAGCGACGCCGACGCCGCCCUGCCAACCCUCCACGCCUGCUGGACAUGAACGACGUGGCGCUGGAGAGCGGCGAGCUGGGCGACUACCACAGCCGACGCCACCGCCACCGCCGCGGCCGCAUUCUGGACGCGCGGGAGGUGCCGAUGGAUAUCGCCGGCGAGGUGCGGGAGCAGGAGACGGACACGGUGCCGCUGCUGUCGGGCACGGAGGUGCGCGACCCGUACUACCAAGCGCUGGUGGCGCUGCGCGCGUCGCUGGUGAGGGAGGACGAGGCCGUCAACGCAGACAGCAUUCGGUGUGUGGAGGAGCAGAUGAAGGACCGCGUGGCGCAGCUGAACAGCGACGCGGCGCGCGCACGUGCGGCGGAGAUGCGCGCGGAGGCGGCGCUGAAGGCACGCUACCCGUUCCUCGGCCCCACCGUGGCGGGCGAGUUGCUCACGGCGGUACGCCUGGAGGACGACGCCGUGUUCGUGGGUCUGGCGGCCGAGCACGCGUCGCUCAAGGCGACGCCGACGACGCCGCGGCAGGCGCUGGCGUGUGUGGAGCAGGGGAUGCGUGCGCGCGCGAGCGAGCUGGUGGCGGAGCACGCACGCGACGAGGAGGCGCUGCGUGAGAGGCUGCCGUUUGUCGGGGCGCUGCCUGGCGGCGUGACGCUGCGCGAGCUGGACAUGGCCAAUGACCCGGACGUGAAGCCGUUGCUGGCGCAGCUGGAGGAGCUGGCCAAGGACCCGGCGGCGGCGAAGGGGCCGGAGGCGCGGCGGCUGGAGAAGGCGAUCGGCGAGCUGGCGCGCCGUGCUGCGGAGGACGAAGCCGAGCGCACGCGCCAUGGCCUCGUGGACGCGGAGGGGCUGCACGAGCGCUUCCCGUUCCUGCCGGAGGAGCCGGUGCCGGGUGUGUCGCUAGUGGAGGCGCGCGUGAUGGACGACCCCGAGUUCCGCACGCUGGCGAACGAACUGGUGGACCUGCGCAGGGGCGCGGAGGCCAGCCCGCAGGCGCUGCGCGCCGCGGAGGAGGCGCUGGCGGGCCACGCUGCCGAGGUGGCGGCCGCGAAGCUGCGCGCGACGGAGGAGGCGCAGGCGCACUACCCGUUCCUGUCGAAGCGCGUGGCGGGCGUGCCGCUGAGCGAGCUGCCGCUGGCGCAGGACGAGCUGUUCCAGGCGCUGGUGGCGCAGCGCGCGCCGCUGCUGGGGAGUCCGCGCACAAACGCGGCACGGCUGCACGCGGUCGAGGCACGCGCCCAUGACCGUGCGCGCGAGCUCGCGGAUGCCAAGCGCAAGCUGGACAGCCUACGCGAUGCUGCAGACGACGAGGUGCGUUCGCGCAACCCGUUCCUGCCGCACAGCGACGUGCGCGGCGUGCCGCUGCGCGAGCUGGGCCUGUCGCGGGACCCCGAGUACGCGCGGCUGAUGGAUCGCCGCCUGACGCUGAAGGAGCGGCCGGUCGAGAAUGCGGCGGAGCUGACUGCGGUAGAGGCGCGCCUGAAGAAGCGCGCUACGGAGGUGGCGGAGGCGAAGCUCGUGGCGGAGGCGGAGCUGCGAGCCAAGUACCCGACUGUGGCGACGGCGCCUGAGGCGGCGAUGCUGUCGUCGUUGGGGCUGUCGCUGGACCCGCGGCUGGCGCAGCUCGAGCAGCAGUGCGUGGCGCUUGCUGACCAGCCGAAACCAGACCGCGCGGUGCUGCGUGCCGCGGAGGAGGCGGCGGCAGUGCGCGUGCAGGAGCUGGUGGACGAAGACGCAAGCGCCGAGGAGGAGGCGGCGCAGGCGCGUGCGGCGGUGCUGAAGCGGUACCCCAUGUGCGCACGCGACGUGACGGAGGCGGUGGGCAAGGACGCCGUGUUCGCGUCACUGGCUGCGCGCCACGCGGGUCUGCUGUCAGACCCUGCAGCCAACAGGGAACCGCUGGCCGACGUGGAGGAUCUCAUGCGCCAGCGCGGUGCUGAGGUGGAGAGCGGGCGCCGGCAGCGACGCCGACGCCGCCCUGCCAACCCUCCACGCCUGCUGGACAUGAACGACGUGGCGCUGGAGAGCGGCGAGCUGGGCGACUACCACAGCCGACGCCACCGCCACCGCCGCGGCCGCAUUCUGGACGCGCGGGAGGUGCCGAUGGAUAUCGCCGGCGAGGUGCGGGAGCAGGAGACGGACACGGUGCCGCUGCUGUCGGGCACGGAGGUGCGCGACCCGUACUACCAAGCGCUGGUGGCGCUGCGCGCGUCGCUGGUGAGGGAGGACGAGGCCGUCAACGCAGACAGCAUUCGGUGUGUGGAGGAGCAGAUGAAGGACCGCGUGGCGCAGCUGAACAGCGACGCGGCGCGCGCACGUGCGGCGGAGAUGCGCGCGGAGGCGGCGCUGAAGGCACGCUACCCGUUCCUCGGCCCCACCGUGGCGGGCGAGUUGCUCACGGCGGUACGCCUGGAGGACGACGCCGUGUUCGUGGGUCUGGCGGCCGAGCACGCGUCGCUCAAGGCGACGCCGACGACGCCGCGGCAGGCGCUGGCGUGUGUGGAGCAGGGGAUGCGUGCGCGCGCGAGCGAGCUGGUGGCGGAGCACGCACGCGACGAGGAGGCGCUGCGUGAGAGGCUGCCGUUUGUCGGGGCGCUGCCUGGCGGCGUGACGCUGCGCGAGCUGGACAUGGCCAAUGACCCGGACGUGAAGCCGUUGCUGGCGCAGCUGGAGGAGCUGGCCAAGGACCCGGCGGCGGCGAAGGGGCCGGAGGCGCGGCGGCUGGAGAAGGCGAUCGGCGAGCUGGCGCGCCGUGCUGCGGAGGACGAAGCCGAGCGCACGCGCCAUGGCCUCGUGGACGCGGAGGGGCUGCACGAGCGCUUCCCGUUCCUGCCGGAGGAGCCGGUGCCGGGUGUGUCGCUAGUGGAGGCGCGCGUGAUGGACGACCCCGAGUUCCGCACGCUGGCGAACGAACUGGUGGACCUGCGCAGGGGCGCGGAGGCCAGCCCGCAGGCGCUGCGCGCCGCGGAGGAGGCGCUGGCGGGCCACGCUGCCGAGGUGGCGGCCGCGAAGCUGCGCGCGACGGAGGAGGCGCAGGCGCACUACCCGUUCCUGUCGAAGCGCGUGGCGGGCGUGCCGCUGAGCGAGCUGCCGCUGGCGCAGGACGAGCUGUUCCAGGCGCUGGUGGCGCAGCGCGCGCCGCUGCUGGGGAGUCCGCGCACAAACGCGGCACGGCUGCACGCGGUCGAGGCACGCGCCCAUGACCGUGCGCGCGAGCUCGCGGAUGCCAAGCGCAAGCUGGACAGCCUACGCGAUGCUGCAGACGACGAGGUGCGUUCGCGCAACCCGUUCCUGCCGCACAGCGACGUGCGCGGCGUGCCGCUGCGCGAGCUGGGCCUGUCGCGGGACCCCGAGUACGCGCGGCUGAUGGAUCGCCGCCUGACGCUGAAGGAGCGGCCGGUCGAGAAUGCGGCGGAGCUGACUGCGGUAGAGGCGCGCCUGAAGAAGCGCGCUACGGAGGUGGCGGAGGCGAAGCUCGUGGCGGAGGCGGAGCUGCGAGCCAAGUACCCGACUGUGGCGACGGCGCCUGAGGCGGCGAUGCUGUCGUCGUUGGGGCUGUCGCUGGACCCGCGGCUGGCGCAGCUCGAGCAGCAGUGCGUGGCGCUUGCUGACCAGCCGAAACCAGACCGCGCGGUGCUGCGUGCCGCGGAGGAGGCGGCGGCAGUGCGCGUGCAGGAGCUGGUGGACGAAGACGCAAGCGCCGAGGAGGAGGCGGCGCAGGCGCGUGCGGCGGUGCUGAAGCGGUACCCCAUGUGCGCACGCGACGUGACGGAGGCGGUGGGCAAGGACGCCGUGUUCGCGUCACUGGCUGCGCGCCACGCGGGUCUGCUGUCAGACCCUGCAGCCAACAGGGAACCGCUGGCCGACGUGGAGGAUCUCAUGCGCCAGCGCGGUGCUGAGGUGGAGAGCGGGCGCCGGCAGCGACGCCGACGCCGCCCUGCCAACCCUCCACGCCUGCUGGACAUGAACGACGUGGCGCUGGAGAGCGGCGAGCUGGGCGACUACCACAGCCGACGCCACCGCCACCGCCGCGGCCGCAUUCUGGACGCGCGGGAGGUGCCGAUGGAUAUCGCCGGCGAGGUGCGGGAGCAGGAGACGGACACGGUGCCGCUGCUGUCGGGCACGGAGGUGCGCGACCCGUACUACCAAGCGCUGGUGGCGCUGCGCGCGUCGCUGGUGAGGGAGGACGAGGCCGUCAACGCAGACAGCAUUCGGUGUGUGGAGGAGCAGAUGAAGGACCGCGUGGCGCAGCUGAACAGCGACGCGGCGCGCGCACGUGCGGCGGAGAUGCGCGCGGAGGCGGCGCUGAAGGCACGCUACCCGUUCCUCGGCCCCACCGUGGCGGGCGAGUUGCUCACGGCGGUACGCCUGGAGGACGACGCCGUGUUCGUGGGUCUGGCGGCCGAGCACGCGUCGCUCAAGGCGACGCCGACGACGCCGCGGCAGGCGCUGGCGUGUGUGGAGCAGGGGAUGCGUGCGCGCGCGAGCGAGCUGGUGGCGGAGCACGCACGCGACGAGGAGGCGCUGCGUGAGAGGCUGCCGUUUGUCGGGGCGCUGCCUGGCGGCGUGACGCUGCGCGAGCUGGACAUGGCCAAUGACCCGGACGUGAAGCCGUUGCUGGCGCAGCUGGAGGAGCUGGCCAAGGACCCGGCGGCGGCGAAGGGGCCGGAGGCGCGGCGGCUGGAGAAGGCGAUCGGCGAGCUGGCGCGCCGUGCUGCGGAGGACGAAGCCGAGCGCACGCGCCAUGGCCUCGUGGACGCGGAGGGGCUGCACGAGCGCUUCCCGUUCCUGCCGGAGGAGCCGGUGCCGGGUGUGUCGCUAGUGGAGGCGCGCGUGAUGGACGACCCCGAGUUCCGCACGCUGGCGAACGCACUGGUGGACCUGCGCAGGGACUCGUCUGUGAAGGAGACUGCUGAAAUUGUUUUUCAACAGAGUAUGGCUGAAGUGGCAAUUCGUCUGGCGAGCGAUAAGCUGCGCGCGACGGAGGAGGCGCAGGCGCACUACCCGUUCCUGUCGAAGCGCGUGGCGGGCGUGCCGCUGAGCGAGCUGCCGCUGGCGCAGGACGAGCUGUUCCAGGCGCUGGUGGCGCAGCGCGCGCCGCUGCUGGGGAGUCCGCGCACAAACGCGGCACGGCUGCACGCGGUCGAGGCACGCGCCCAUGACCGUGCGCGCGAGCUCGCUGUAGAAACGAAGGCUAUUCAACUUUUUCGGAUGGACGAGAGUGAUGCGGUCCGUGCGCGACAUCCUUACCUGCCGCACAGCGACAUACUGUUGGUGCCGUUGCGAGAAAUUGCUGUCCAUAGCGAUCGGAAGCUGCAGCGCUUAGGCCGGCGACGUCUGCAGCUGAAGGGCGCCGGAAGUGUGGACGUGUCCGCCUUGGCGUUGGUGGAGUCGGAGAUGCGUGAGCGUGUCGGAGAGCUGGCGGGCCGGAUCGUGGCUGCUGAGAUGAAGGGUCGCCGGCGCUUCUUGCCGCGGCAGCGCCGCUCUGUCGGGGUCGUGUUUGCAGCGCUGCACAUUCCUGAGGACGAGGAGAUCGUAGAGUGGCGGUUGGACGUGAUGGAGAACCCGGACUGCGACGCUGAUGACGAGGCCGUGGCGAAGAAGGCGAUUCGGCGGCGCGGCAGUGCGUUGUUGGACGCCUAUCUGGAAGCCGAGGCGGACAUUGCGAGGGAGCUGCAUCAGCUGCGCCGCCGCUUUCCAACUUGUGUGCGCGAUGUGAACCCGUCCAUCGAGCUGGACGACUACUUCGCAACGCUGCGUGGGGCCUAUGCGGAUUGGGUUGCCUUCAUGGACGAAGAGGAGCCGAGUCUGAUCCAAAUCCAGGAAGAGAUGCGGGCGCGCAGUGUAGCUCUCAUCGGUGACGACCGAUGUGUGGCCGAUGCCCUCAACAACUACUGCGUUGCGGAGGCGGAGUUGCGUCUUGCCAAGGCGCAUCGAAAGCCGUCGUCGCAGGUUGCCCGCCUGCGCCGUGCCACCGACGUGGCGCAGUCCAAGCACCGCCUCUGGUCUCGUCGCCAGGCCCGCCGCCACGUGACGGCGCCGCUCUUCGACUUCCCUGUGAACGAAGGCGACUUUAUCGACGACGAUGACGCGGACUCAUGGGUCGAGGAAGACACGUACGCCGCACACUCGCGGGCAGCACAUGCAAAAGCCUGCAUGGACUCCCACUUCCUGUACCUGCAGCGCCAGAAGGCAACGCUGACGGCCGGCGGGCACCGCAGCGGCGCUCGCUGCGUCUCCGAACUGCUGAAGCGUCGACUGCGUCAGCUCACGGGAGACGCAGCACGGCUGCAGCGGAGUCGGAAGCGCCGCGACAACGCCAUCCUGAGACAGUAUCCGUUCCUGCAGUCGCGCUACUUCAUGAGUGUGCCGCUUUCGGAGCUGCGGCUGGACGAAGACGACGAGUUCAUGCGACUGGCUGCGGAGCGCGAUCGUCUCCUUCAGCCGCCAAGCGACCUGCGUGCGAGGUACCCCUUUCUGCCGGCCGUUAUUAAUGGUGUGCCCAUUGAGGAGCUUGGACUGGAAGCCGAUCCGGAGUUCAUGCGGCUGGCAUCGCAACGCGAGGACCUCAUCGGACCCCUGCGCGCGAAGCUGAAGAGCGUGAAAGACCGCGAGGAAGCCAUGCGGAUUCGCGUGAUCGAGCACGUGGCGGCGCAUGUGGCAAGAGAAAACCACUUACGUGAUACCUACCCGUUUCUCGAUGCUCAAAAGCUGCCUUUACAUCUGCAACGACUGUACUUGGAGCAUGAUGUACAGUUCCAGAGGUUAUACGCGGAGUACGCGAGGCUGCGCGGCUCCGCAGCCGGCGAUGACGCCUCGAUGACGACGGCCACGAUCGCAACACCAAAGGCUGGACGGUGCAGUCGCGUUAGCAGCAUCGCGAGCAGCAGCAGCCUCGCCUCGCCGCGCCCACAUGCGAAGACGGUGGCGCAGAAGCAGCUGGAGAAGCGGAUGCGGGAGUGGGUGAUGCGCCUGGCUGAGGAAGAAGCGGAGUGGGAGUUUGCCAACAUGAUGGACCUCGAGAGCCUCGCGGAUCGCUUUCCGUUCUUGCCGGUCGAGCCGUUGCCGGGCAUCCACCUCGGUGAGAUCGACGCGUUUGUCGAUGUGCGGUUCUGCUCUAUGGCAGCAGAGCUGGAGCUGGCACGCAAGAACAUCGCGCCGCCGGCGGUUGUGGCGACCGCCGAAGCGGCCCUUCUCUCGCGUGUUAUGCAGCUAGCGGAGGAGAAGCAUAUGAAGACGGUGCGCUGCCGUCAGCGCCAUCCUCCCCUGCCGCGGCGUGUCGUUGGCGUGCUUAUUGGUGACAUCGACCUCCCUGUGUGCGGUGAGUUUGCGGAGGCCAGCGAAGAGGCACUGCUGGAGUCGUACUACAAGGCGGCAGGGAAGGUGAAAGCGCGGCGUAUUUGCAACGCGGACGAGGACGAGGCGGUACGCUCGCGUCAUCCAUUCCUGGAGAUGAACGACGUGCACGGGGUGCCACUGCGGUACCUGCCGCUCUCCGACGACUCCAUCUACCUCUCCUACCUGCGCAAGUGGAGAGCGGUUUUGUCGGCCGAGCCGAUCGAUCGGGAGAAGCUCCGCAUUUACGAGGACCUUCUCCGCGAGUGUGCAGAGGAGCAGGCGCUGCGCAUCAUUGACGUGAAUGCGGCGAUGGCGAAUCGCCUGAGCCAGCUGCAGGUGAUGAACGUGGUGCCGGCAGCGCUGCCGCUGCUGGACCUGCAUAACAUACUGGUGAGAGCGCGCGAUGUGCUCGUGGCAGAGCAUAAGAGCGGCGUCAUCCCGCCGCCCACCGUCGAAGAUCUCGAGCUGUUGGCCGGCCUGGCGACGGCGUUUGCCAGUGCGUGGGAAGACGUGGUGCAGGAGCUGACAGCGCUGCGGCGGCGGUUCCCGUGGAGCGUGCGGGACGUCAACCCGGCACUUCAGCACGAUGCUACCUUUCAGCAGUUGGAGGCGCAGCGGCAGUCGUUGUUGGCCACAUUCAACCAGAUGGAGCUGAUGGAGUCGCUCGAGACGGAGGAACGCAAGCGGAGCGUUGAACUUAUCGAGGACGACACGUACGUGCGUGAUGCUGAGAAGGCGUGUGCGCCGUCUGCGCAGAAGCCGCUGCGCCGGCUCAGCGCAGAGGAGCUGACGAAGCGGUGGAAGCAUCAGCUGUGCCUGCGUCAUCGCCAACGCCGCGUGGUAUCCUUCAGCGACAUCCCAGAUGAUGCCACGGAAUUGAAUGGUUCGAGCACCAGCGGCGGCCGCAUAUCGAAGGCGCGCAAGUCGCGCGAGCGCCGGAAGCGCAGCAUGAGCUGGACAAAACUGGACGUCGACGUGAUUCCAGACAACGUGUUCGCAGAAAUCAAGGAGGAGGAGUUCCACACAAGCCUGCCCUGCUCCACCGGGCCGAGCGACAUCCUAACGGCGCCGGAUGGUCUGCCACCAAUGCUGCUGCUAUCGGACCGCCUGCAAGGCAGUCAGCUGGCGUCGCAGCCGCACACGCCGCAGAAACAGCAACGCCGGCAGCGCUCACAGUCUGGGGGCCGGCACCGGCUCGGCAGCAUCACUGCGGAGAGUAUACCUCACAGCGAGGCAUGCGCAAUGCUGGGCGACGGCAAAAUCGUGCCUGUUGACGAGCUGGCAUCCCUGAACUCAGGGGCGGCCGGUCCGGAGAGCAGCGUUGCCUCCUCCGCUAUCCUUCGCGUUGGUGCGACGCCGGCUCCCUCGAUGGCGACGACGGUGGCAUCGAGCAGCGAUGCCGCAGGCCUAUCGCCACGGCGUGGGGCAGCUGAUCCACGUAAGGGGCGGAAGCGCGUGCUUAAGAAGCGCUUGCGUGUGCGCCGCGCGAGCACCGCCUCAGUGGACGCGAUUCCUGACGAGACUCCAGGAGAAGUUGUCGAGCACGAUUUGGACGAGAUCGGCUGCGUCGCCCGCCAGGCUGUUGGGCCGCCGUGCCCAGAUGCUUCCGAGCCGAGCGCUGGUGGCGCCAACAGGCAAGGAAGCGGAGGCCGGCACCGCAUUCCGCAGCCGCCUCCGCAGCAGCGGAAGACGCGCACGCGACAACUUCCAACAAAGCCGAAGCUGGCAGCGCGCUCCGCCAGGACGCAGGCGUCCGCGGCAACGCCCAAAACACGAGAUGCGAAGUCUGGCAGAGCGGACCUGGAGCCGGUUGUGCGAGCCAAGUCGCGGAAGCUCAGCGUUCCGCGUAUGGGCUCACAGCUGCUUUCCGUUGCAGGCGAAGAGCCGGAGGUGACUGUGGGGCUGCUGCGUGAGCAGGAGAUCGACCAGCAGCAGCAGACCUCGCGUGAUACCGCAGCUGCGGCGAUGGCAUCGACUCGCAGGCCACAGCUGGAGCAGCGGGAGCAGCAGCAGCAGCAGCAGCGAGACCAAGGCACCACAAGCAGAACGCGGAGCAAGUCGAAGCAGCAUCUCUCUCGCCCGGCCAGCUCGCAGCGCUCUCGCAUCAGCAUCUCGCAGCUGGAAGAAGAGGAGAUUCGGGAGCUUCAUAUCUCGUUGGAGCAGCAGCUGCAGGACCCGGCUGAUCGCGGUCGCCGUCGCAGCGCGGCACCGCGCAGAGGCACGUCCGCGGAAUCUAAGAGCCGCUCAAGGAGGGCGUCCGCAGCACCGCGAGGCUCUGCUCCCUCCUCGGCAAGUUUCGGCCCCACCAACUCCCUUGAUGCGGUGUCGCCGGAAGGAAGUCCUGAGGCGGCCGAAAAGGCUUUGGUGCAGCGCGCACUUCGCGAAGCGCAGCCGUUUCUGGCGCAGGCGGUGACGCAGGAAGAGGUGGAGGCCGCUGCUGAGCCGAUGAGGUACGUCUUCGAGCACUGCGACCUCAGCCGAUACGCGGCCAGCGGAAGCGGUGCAAGUGCGUUGCUCUCGGCGCGGCUACGGGAGCUGGAGGCGCUGCUGCAGGCGUGGAUCGUGCAGCGGUCGAAAGGAGCGAUGCAGCAUCGCGCGACGGCCCCCGCCAACGACCAAGCCGCGCGUUCGUGUCGCCGGCUGCAGGCGGCGGACAGCAGCGGCUCUUACGAGAACCCAAGACGGCUUCCUUUGCGGUGGGCACACCUCACCGUGGAAGAGCUGGACAGUGACGACGGGCUGCGCCAUUUGAGAGACAGCGCCGCCCCGCCGCAGCGCAUUGACAGCUACCUUGCUGCGUGGUCCGCACGCAAGCAAGCCGCCAACGAGGCGUUGUUCGCCACAUUCCCCUUCCUCGCGACGCUCCCAUGCGGGUAUGCACUGACAGAGGUGGGCUUCACGAACGAUGCGGAGUUCCAGCACUACAUGCGUGGCGGGGCGUACCAGGAGAGUGUGCACGUCCAGCAGCAGAUGCGGGACGUGGUGGACAAGCUGGCGCGCACCAAGGCGGCCGCUGCAGAAGGGCGCCAGGCGACGCGCUACGCGGACCGGGUUCGCGCUACCGUCGAGACGACGCGCGACGCUGCUGGCCCGGCUACCGGGUCGACAGAACGGCAGUCUGGUGGUGACGAUCGGGCGCCGCUGCAGAAUGCUCAGGCGCUCGCAGAGUACCCGGAGGAUCCGCAGCUGCUGGACGCCAUCCUUGCGGCGCGUGUGAAGCGGACGAAUCGGUUCCUCGACAAGCGACAGCGCCUCUCCUUUGUUGCGCAGAGCAAGCAGGAGUCCGAGAGACUCAUCAAGCGCAUGAUGGUGCGCAUGAAGAAGGAAUGCACCUCCGACAUCCCCAUGGGGAUGGAGGACGUCGAGACGCUGCGGUUCUUCUUCGACGGCGUUGACGUCGAUCACUUUGGCGUGCUAGACCGCACUGACACGACGGACUUCAUCAUGCUCACGCUGGGAGAGGAGAAGCGCAUGAGCCGCACGGAUGUGGAGCGGCUGCUCUUCCCCGAUGUGCCGCGCGGCGCGGUGUUGCCGACGCUCGUGGACUUCAGUGACUUCUCGAAGUUCUACAAGAAGGUGGCGCUGCAGGAGCUCUUGAAGCAAGAUAGCACUUUCGAUAAGAAGGUGGCGACGCGCGCGACGACGGUGCCAGAUGCGGGGGCGGAAACAUCCCGAGCGACUACCAUCACACCGCGCCGCCCAGAGCCACCGUCAACGUCUCCGCGGACAGGCAGCGACCGUCGCGGGCGCCUCAGCACCGUUAGCAGCGGCGUCCUGCCGGUGCGAGCCUUUGCCGCCACCUCGUCUUCGGCAGCUGCUUCAGAAGCAGGAACGGUAGCCGCGUCGGCGAACACACCCAGGCGCAUCGGGUUGCGGCGUCCGUCCUCGGAGCCGCAUCCGCAUCACGAGGGAAGUGGCAUUCUCCACACGCUGCAGCACCGACACGGAAGCGCCUACACCCCACCCACAUCGGCGCGCGACCGUAUUAGGGUUCCCGAAGGUGGGGCCGUCGCUUCGACAGACCGCUGGUUCGAGUAUGGCCAGCCGAGCUCCGGGCACGUCAGCGCACCAGCCGGUACUCCUCCGCAGGCCGAAAAGUGAGCAAGGCAGGUGCGUAUGGUGGAGUCGUCUACGUGCGUGUCCGUACUCUUGCGCGCAUUCAAAUUUGUUGUCGCUCUUCCACAUGUUAUUCUUACUGUGGCGUCGGUGCAGUUCUUUGGCCUCCUGCGCGUUGCCUCCCUCCCCCCUCAGCCGCCGCCGCCGCCUCCCUUCGGCGUCAUGCAGCCCACCCUCACCCCCUCUCACAUGUGUGAUAUGUGCUUCUGCCUGCCUGUGUAGCAUGUCUCUGUGUGUGCAUGCUUGUGUGUGAUGAGCCAACGGCCCCGCACCUCCACCG
rnacentral:misc_RNA from 1 species